rnacentral:lncRNA from 1 species
UUCCUACUAAUUUCUACUAUUUUAUCCCAAUAUUGCUUUCUAGGAAUUCCAAUGUUGGAAAAUUAUAGUUUUGGUCCCUGAAAACUCUAUGACCCUGACACUCCCCCACUUAAACGGUCGACGUCCUCGUCGACUGAGUUUGUUGGGGUUCUUCAAUCUUUGAGUCCGACAUUCUUAGGCUCGCAGUGUGAUCUGAUCCCAGUCCUGCUCAAUUAAAUUGUUAGACAGCC